rnacentral:rRNA from 1 species
CCUACGGGCGGCAGCAGUGGGGAAUAUUGGACAAUGGGCGAAAGCCUGAUCCAGCCAUGCCGCGUGUGUGAAGAAGGCCUUCGGGUUGUAAAGCACUUUCAGUGGGGAAGAAAGCCUUGGGGCUAAUACCCUCGAGGAAGGACAUCACCCACAGAAGAAGCACCGGCUAACUCCGUGCCAGCAGCCGCGGUAAUACGGAGGGUGCGAGCGUUAAUCGGAAUUACUGGGCGUAAAGCGCGCGUAGGCGGUCUGAUAAGCCGGUUGUGAAAGACCCGGGCUCAACCUGGGAACGGCAUCCGGAACUGUCAGGCUAGAGUGCAGGAGAGGAAGGUAGAAUUCCCGGUGUAGCGGUGAAAUGCGUAGAGAUCGGGAGGAAUACCAGUGGCGAAGGCGGCCUUCUGGACUGACACUGACGCUGAGGUGCGAAAGCGUGGGUAGCAAACAGGAUUAGAUACCCUUGUAGUC